rnacentral:rRNA from 1 species
GAUGAACGCUGGCGGCGUGCCUAAUACAUGCAAGUCGAGCGAACAGACGAGGAGCUUGCUCCUCUGACGUUAGCGGCGGACGGGUGAGUAACACGUGGAUAACCUACCUAUAAGACUGGGAUAACUUCGGGAAACCGGAGCUAAUACCGGAUAAUAUAUUGAACCGCAUGGUUCAAUAGUGAAAGACGGUUUUGCUGUCACUUAUAGAUGGAUCCGCGCCGCAUUAGCUAGUUGGUAAGGUAACGGCUUACCAAGGCAACGAUGCGUAGCCGACCUGAGAGGGUGAUCGGCCACACUGGAACUGAGACGCGGUCCAGACUCCUACGGGAGGCAGCAGUAGGGAAUCUUCCGCAAUGGGCGAAAGCCUGACGGAGCAGCGCCGCGUGAGUGAUGAAGGUCUUCGGAUCGUAAAACUCUGUUAUUAGUGAAGAACAAAUGUGUAAGUAACUAUGCACGUCUUGACGGUACCUAAUCAGAAAGCCACGGCUAACUACGUG